CUUCAGAUGUGGCACCAUCACAGACGUAUCGCAAGCCAGACUCGCCAUUCCCUGUGAAGGUGUGGAGGGUCGCUACAUCACUGUGACCAUCCCCGGCCGUGCUGAGUAUCUAACACUGUGUGAAGUGGAAGUUUAUGGGCAUUUCACUGAAACAGAGAAUGAGUUAACCUGUUAGUCAUGGCCAGUCUUUCCUGCAAUUACAGAAAAUGCGUUGGCUUCAGCUUAAUAAUUACAUAAACGAUCAUGUUUUCGCUUAUGCAACAAUGUAGCUUUUUAUGUCCCACAAAGUACAGAGACCUUCCUGGUAAAUGUGAUUGGCUGUGGCUGUUUACUCUUGCCAUCUUACAACAUGGCGACCGGGACUGAUAUAUGCUAUGCAUUCCAAUCCACAUACUUUCUAAUCAUAUUCUCAGAGAUAACAAUGAAACUAAAUAUGUCACCAGUACUUAUAAGUAGUAAUAGCCCAGUAGUAGCCCAGUAGUAGCCCAGUAAUAGCCCAGUAAUGGCUCAUUAAUUGCCCAGUAUUAGCCCAGUAAUGGCUCAUUAAUUGCCCAGUAUUAGCCCAGUAAUGGCUCAUUAAUGGCACAGGAAUAGUCCAGUAAUGGCCCAGUAAUACUCUAGUAAUGGCCCUGGUGUAAUAUAUCACAUUUAAUUAUAGGUUGCAAUGAGACCAUUAAGAUAAAUAGCAGCAGGAAAUGGGCCAGAAAUACUGGAUUUAUGUCAGUGAUUAAUAUAAGAUUCUCCUAUAACCCUUUAUAUCAUGAUAUUUCUGUAGUGGUUUUGGUCCUUACUCGUUCUGUGGGUUUAAUAAAUAUAAUGCUAAUGCUUGCCUAAUUAACCUGUACUUCUUUGUUUGGAAAAUAAAUGAUAUCUCAUUGUUCUGUG